UACGUAGGGAGCAAGCGUUGUCCGGAAUUACUGGGCGUAAAGGGCGUGUAGGCGGUUGUGCAAGUCUCAUGUGAAAUCCCCGGGCUUAACCCGGGUCGUGCAUGGGAAACUGCAUAACUUGAGUGAGGUAGAGGAUCGUGGAAUUCCUAGUGUAGCGGUAAAAUGCAUAGAUAUUAGGAGGAACACCGGUGGCGAAGGCGACGAUCUGGGCCUUAACUGACGCUGAGGCGCGAAAGCGUGGGGAGCAAACAGG
rnacentral:rRNA from 1 species